rfam:SAR86 cluster bacterium SAR86B genomic scaffold Contig_21, whole genome shotgun sequence.
GCGGGUAUCGUAUAAUGGCUAUUAUAAGAGGUUUCCAACCUUUUGAUGAGAGUUCGAUCCUCUCUACCCGCU